GCGUUUGUGGUUUAAUGGUAAAAUCCAUCGUUGCCAUCAGGGUCUCUUGUUCUCAUGUUCAAUAGAUAAUGAAUAAUGUCGAUGGGCUCCGGGUUCGAUUCCCGGCGAACGCA